AUCCAGCCAACGAGUCCCAACUAGGGAGAAACGCGCGUCCUGGAU
rnacentral:hammerhead_ribozyme from 1 species